AUUAAAUCGGUGCUCUAGUGGGUGGGGCAGACCUGGGCUAGCAGGCCUCAGGGAGAACUCCAAUGGCAUCUGUGUCAGCACGCCCACACCAGGCCACAACAAUGGCCACCGCCAAUGUCCCAGUCCCUGGAGAGGUCUCACCUCUCACCGAGAAGCACUCAGGGCCUAUUAGGUAAGGUGCUGAGAAGAACCCCAAGCAAACCGAGAGAUGUUUUAAAAUGGAAAUCACCCAAUAGGAUGAUUCCAAGGCAAAAGGAAUCUAUUCUACUUUGAAUGAUAUGGAUUAUUUUACGUAAAUAUGAGAUUUAGGGCAGAAGAUUUUCUUCUUUUAAUAAAAAAAUACAGGAGAGAAGACUUAUCUUCAAAUUGUUUCUGGAUUGAAGUAAAAACAAGGUUCCGCAUUGGUUGGAGAUACAGCUGCCAUCACAGGUCCUGUUUUCUUCUCUUGAGAAUCCUCCCUGACAGUAACAGCUCACUGGGGUAGUGUUUUGCCAUUUUCUUGCCCACAAUGUUGUGAGUUCUGCUUGGAUGUCUCCCCUCACAGCCUCUGCCCUGCUGAAUCAGUGGUCCGCGGCCUGACAAGAGCAGAUCGGAUUGAUGGAGCAUACUUGAUCCCAGGAUGGCUUGUCCAUAGACUUGUACAUGAACUCCAGCAGGGGUGUCUGGGCAGAAAACAAGAGACAUCCUCUCUCUGCCCUCUUGUUGGAAUUUAGACCUGAGGAAAUUCAGAGCCUGAGCAGUUCACCCAUGCAUCUUACUUUGGGGACCUUUGAGCCAUCUUUGCCCCUUAUGACCAAAUGAGUCUUGAAAACAUCAGUGAAGUUUGAUGAACUUUUGUUGAAUAUUGUAGCACUAUAAUUAAUAGUAUUGCAGCAACCAAGUUGCCAUGGAAAAAGUGGAUGACUUAGGUUGGAGUGGAACAUAAUACCGCUGUAAACAUAAGAAGGUAAAUAACUUCUAGUGACGUAACUUGUGGUUCAGUGGAUUACAGAAAGCCUCUGGAAAGACCUUUUCGAUGUGCAACCUGCUGAAGGAGAUGUGAGAAAAUGCAUUAAUCAUGGAUUUCUUCGAAAGAAACUUGGGGCUGUCCUGCUGAUUCAAUAGGGCCCGCCUCCUGCUCAGUGUGAGCCAUAAGACUGUCACAAAAAUGCUGGCGGAUAACUGGGACAUGGAUUUAAGGAAAACUAAGAUUACAAUAAAAAUAAAUUAGGAUUUUCUGACCCUCAGAGAUGAGGUUCAGUCACGGUUGGCUUUCCUUCUGAAGGACAAAACUGAUAGCAGUUAAAGAUGUUAGUAAAUAUAUUGUUCAUUCUUGUUUUCCUAAGCUUUGUCCAAAAUCUCGAGUUAUUCUCAACACUGUUUAUAAUUAAACUCAUUCUCAUUUUAAAUCAUCACCAGACAGAACUGUCUUAGAGCAGUGGCAUGCGGUUAAUCUCCGACUCUUCAACCUGAGAGUCAAGCACGUGUGUCUUCACCGUGUGUGGGCACUUCUCAUAUCAUGGGUCUGACAGUGUUGAGACGGGUUGGCUUAGUUAUUAGCUGCCCAAAAACCUUUCUGAAAGUUUUCCCUUUCUCAGGUGGGUGUUCAGAGCAUGACCUCUCCCCUCCCAACACUAAAA